CUUCAGUGAUGAUACGAUGACGAGUCAGAAAGGUCACAUCUUGCUCUUGGUGUCCUUGUCAGUGCCAUGUUCUGUGGUGCUGUUCAUGGUUCCUUUAGCAAAAGUGUCCUGCAUACUGAUUGAUUUAGAGGCAUUUGUCUGAGAAGG